UACAGAGGGUGCGAGCGUUAAUCGGAAUUACUGGGCGUCAAGGGCGCGUAGGCGGCAUGGCAAGUCAGGCGUGAAAGGCCUGGGCUCAACCGAGGAACUGCUUUUGAUACUGCCAAGCUAGAGUGCGGAAGGGGCAACUGGAAUUCCCAGUGUAGCGGUGAAAUGCGUAGAUAUUGGGAAGAACACCUGAGGCGAAGGCGGGGUGCUGGGCCGACACUGACGCUGAGGCGCGAAAGCCAGGGGAGCAAACGGG
rnacentral:rRNA from 1 species